rnacentral:lncRNA from 1 species
UCCUUUUCACAAUAAGAUAAAGUUCAAUGUGAGAAGGAAAAAGAAAAGCUGAAAAACAACAUUCAGUUUUGUUACCAAAGCAAAUAAAUAAAAAUGUUACCUUCUCUCCCUUGUUUUGAUAAUCAUAACCUUUUUUUAAAAAAAAAAAAAAGAUGUAGCCAAAAAGAAGUCUUCAUCUGAGAAGAAAAACCACAAUGAUCACACUCAGGUGUUUUUCUUAUAGCUCUCACAAUUGUGUCAUGAAGAAGGUAGAUGAAAUCAUCUCAUAUUCAUUCCUGUAACUAAAUGUCACAGUGCACAUGAAUCCUCUGACAAAAUAUAGUAUUCAUUCUCAUGUCAGAUUUUUAACUAUGCACAGCUUUAAUUAUUUAUUCUUUUUCCUCCAUAAGUAUAGGAAAAAAUUCUUAAUCAUCAGCCUUACAAAACUAGCAUAGUAAUAGUUAUUCUUAACAUAUCCUAAUGAAUUUCGAAUAAAAAUAAAAUUAAUGUCAUUAAAAGUACAUUUAUAAAGAAUAUAGACUAGAAGACUUCACUUAGAAAAUUUGUUUCACGUGCUGUUAAUAUUCAUGAGAUCAUAUGCAAAUUUGUAUCUGGUUUCUUCAAUAUCUAAAAAAAUUAAAACACUAAUAUCUUCACACUUUUUAAACGCAAAUGCUCUUAUGUGACCAUGCCUAUCCCUCUGUAUGUAUCUGUAUCUAUAUGCCUACUUGUAAAUCCACUCUAUUCUACAAUUUCUCUUAUAAUCUUAACUUACCCAUGGUCAUAUAUGGAUAGCAGCAUGACAGGAAAGUUACUGAACCCAGCUUUCCUGACUUCAACCUCAAAUUCCUGGACUCAAGCAAUACUACCACUGCAGCCUCCCAAGUAGCUGGGACUACAGGUGUGUGCCACCAUGCCUGGCUAAUUCAAAUAUUUUUUCUGUAGAGACAGGUUCUUGCUAUGUCACCCAGGCUGGUCUUGCAUUCCUGGCCUCAAGCAAUCCUUCCAUCUUGGCCUCCCAAAGUGCUGGCAUUACAGGGGUGAGC